rnacentral:miRNA from 1 species
CCAGCUCCCCCAGCAGCUCCAGCAACGCUGGAGGCGGCGGCGGCGGAGGCCGGAGCAGCAGC